rnacentral:rRNA from 1 species
UAGUCCACACCGUAAACGAUGAGAGCUAGUUGUUGGUAUGUAUACAUAUCAGUGACACAGCUAACGCAUUAAGCUCUCCGCCUGGGGAGUACGGCCGCAAGGUUAAAACUCAAAGAAAUUGACGGGGGCCCGCACAAGCGGUGGAGUAUGUGGUUUAAUUCGAUGCAACGCGAAGAACCUUACCAGCCCUUGACAUCCUCGGAACUUUCUAGAAAUAGAUUGGUGCCUUCGGGAACCGAGUGACAGGUGCUGCAUGGCUGUCGUCAGCUCGUGUCGUGAGAUGUUCGGUUAAGUCCGGCAACGAGCGCAACCCACAUCCUUAGUUGCCAGCAGGUUAAGCUGGGCACUCUAGGGAAACUGCCCGUGAUAAGCGGGAGGAAGGUGUGGAUGACGUCAAGUCCUCAUGGCCCUUACGGGGUUGGGGCUACACACGUGCUACAAUGGCAGUGACAAUGGGGUUAAUCCCAAAAAACUGU